rnacentral:rRNA from 1 species
UACGUAGGGGGCAAGCGUUGUCCGGAAUCAUUGGGCGUAAAGAGCGUGUAGGCGGCCCGAUAAGUCCGCUGUGAAAGUCCAGGGCUCAACCCUGGGAUGCCGGUCGAUACUGCCGGACUAGAGUUCGGAAGAGGCGAGUGGAAUUCCCGGUGUAGCGGUGAAAUGCGCAGAUAUCGGGAGGAACACCUAUGGCGAAGGCAGCUCGCUGGGACGUAACUGACGCUGAGACGCGAAAGCGUGGGGAGCAAACAGG